CUAAAUACUCCUUAGUGACCGAUAGCGCAUAGUACUGUGAAGGAAAGGUGAAAAGAACCCCGGGAGGGGAGUGAAAGAGAACCUGAAACCCUGUGUUUACAAGCAGACAAAGCACGUUAAGGUGCGAUGUCGUACUUUUUGUAGAACGGUCCGGCGAGUUAUUUUAUAUGGCAAGGUUAAGUACUAUUAAGGUACGAAGCCGAAGCGAGAGCGAGUCUGAAAAGGGCGAGUAAGUCAUAUGAAAUAGACCCGAAACCGAGUGACCUAUCCAUGGUCAGGAUGAAGCUUGAGUAAAAUCAAGUGGAGGUCCGAACCCAUAAGCGUUAAAAAGCUUCGGGAUGAACUGUGGAUAGCGGAGAAAUUCCAAUCGAACUCGGAGAUAGCUGGUUCUCCUCGAAAUAGCUUUAGGGCUAGCCUUGAGGGAAGAUAUGUGGGGGUAGAGCACUGAAUGAGGUAGGGGCCUAACCAGGUUACUGAACUCUAUCAAACUGCGAAUACCAUGUAUUAAUACUCAGGAGUCAGACUACGGGAGCUAAGUUCCGUGGUCAAAAGGGAAAGAGCCCAGACCGACAAUUAAGGUCCCAAAGAUAUAGUUAAGUGGGAAACGAUGUGAAUUUGCGUAAACAACCAGGAUGUUGGCUCAGAAGCAGCCAUUCAUUCAAAGAGUGCGUAACAGCUCACUGGUCGAGUGAAUUUGCGCGGAAAAUUACCGGGGCUAAACUAUACACCGAAAUUACGGAUUUGUAAAUGAAAAUUUAUAAGUGGUAGAGGAGCAUUCUGUGGUAGGGCGAAGCUAAAGCGAGAGCAUUAGUGGACGAAGCAGAAGAGAGAAUGCUGGAAUAAGUAGCGAGAGCGAGGUGAGAAUCCUUGCCGUCGAAAGUCUAAGGUUUCCUGGGGAAGGUUCGUCCGCCCAGGGUAAGUCGGGACCUAAGGAGAGGCCGAAAGGCGUAUCUGAUGGACAGCAGGUAGAAAUUCCUGCACCACCGAUAUACUUAAAAAAUGCAAGGGACACAGUAGUGGAAGGAAAGCGAGGAAGAGGAAAGACUCGUAUCGAAAGAUAUAGUGAAAAAAUAAGUAACGAAUUUCCAAGAAGCACACUGGCGAGAAAAGCUUGUAGGAAUUGUAUAAAGGUGCCCGUACCGCAAACCGACACAGGUAGAUGAGGAGAGGAUCCUAAGAUGAGCGAGAGAAGCAUUGUUAAGGAACUCGGCAAAUUGACCCCGUAACUUAGGGAGAAGGGGUGCCAAAGUAAAAUUUGGUCGCAGAGAAGAGGCCCAAGCAACUGUUUAACAAAAACACAGGUUUCUGCUAAAUCGAAAGAUGAAGUAUAGGAGCUGACGCCUGCCCAGUGCUGGAAGGUUAAGGGGAAGAGUUAGAUGUAAGUCGAAGCUUAGAACCAAAGCCCCAGUGAACGGCGGCCGUAACUAUAACGGUCCUAAGGUAGCGAAAUUCCUUGUCAGGUAAG
rnacentral:rRNA from 1 species